AUACGGAGGGCACGAACGUUGUUCGGAAUCACUGGGCAUAAAGCGCACGUAGGCGGCUUGUUAAGUCGAAUGUGAAAUCCCUCGGCUCAACCGAGGAACUGCAUCCGAAACUGGCUGACUCGAGGACAGGAGGGGUGAGUGGAACUCCAGGUGGAACGGUGAAAUGUGUAGAUAUCUGGAGGAACACCGGUGGCGAAAGCGGCUCACUGGCCUGUCUCUGACGCUGAGGUGCGAAAGCUAGGGUAGCGAACGGGAUUAGAAACCCCAGUAGUCC
rnacentral:rRNA from 1 species